rnacentral:rRNA from 1 species
CCGGGCUCAACCUGGGAACUGCAUCUGAUACUGGCAAGCUUGAGUCUCGUAGAGGGGGGUAGAAUUCCAGGUGUAGCGGUGAAAUGCGUAGAGAUCUGGAGGAAUACCGGUGGCGAAGGCGGCCCCCUGGACGAAGACUGACGCUCAGGUGCGAAAGCGUGGGGAGCAAACAGGAUUAGAUACCCUGGUAGUCCACGCCGUAAACGAUGUCGACUUGGAGGUUGUGCCCUUGAGGCGUGGCUUCCGGAGCUAACGCGUUAAGUCGACCGCCUGGGGAGUACGGCCGCAAGGUUAAAACUCAAAUGAAUUGACGGGGGCCCGCACAAGCGGUGGAGCAUGUGGUUUAAUUCGAUGCAACGCGAAGAACC